AUACGGGGUGUGCAAGCGUUAAUCGGAAUUACUGGGCGUAAAGCGCGCGUAGGCGGUUUGCUCAGUCGGAUGUGAAAGCCCAGGGCUCAACCUUGGAACUGCAUACGAUACUGGCAAACUAGAGUGUGAGAGAGGAUAGUGGAAUUUCCGGUGUAGCGGUGAAAUGCGUAGAUAUCGGAAGGAACAUCAGUGGCGAAGGCGACUGUCUGGCUCAACACUGACGCUGAGGUGCGAAAGCGUGGGUAGCAAACAGGAUUAGAAACCCUAGUAGUCC
rnacentral:rRNA from 1 species